rnacentral:rRNA from 1 species
ACGUAGGGGGCAAGCGUUGUCCGGAUUUACUGGGUGUAAAGGGCGCGCAGGCGGAAUGGAAAGUCAGUGGUGAAAUCCUACAGCUUAACUGUAGAACUGCCUUUGAUACUUUCAUUCUUGAGUUCGGGAGAGAGAGACGGAAUUCCGGGUGUAGUGGUGAAAUGCGUAGAUAUCCGGAGGAACACCAGUGGCGAAGGCGGCACCCUGGUCCAAGACUGACGCUAAGACGCGAAAGCAUGGGGAGCGAACGG